AUGCCUGAGUUCUCCAACCAAUCUCUGGGAGAAGCACAGAGAUUACAAGAUUCCAGAGAGGUGUGUGGGAAGGAGUAUGGAUGUCCUCCAGUUCAUCCAGCAAUCCGGAGAAUCCGGGAUGAAGCAAAGAAGGAACAGAUGCUGUCCAGUUCGAACGCAUUCCAGCCAAACAGCAUGACCAUGCCCAGGCUGCUGAGGUCUCAAGCAACCGAAGACAGUGCUGAUGCCACUGACACUGCCCAGGGAAUGCUGAACCUCUGUACCACAACAUCGAGGGUGGAGGGCUGGUUUCCUGCCCUGAUGUUCCAGUCCUGGGAUGCUGGAGUGCGGGAUGCACAGCAUGAUGUGGAAGAGAUUGCUGAGACAGAAACUGCAGGACAGUCAUGUGGUGACCUGCAGAGUGCGUGUCUUGCCGCAUCUGUUGAUGCAGAAAAGGUGUGUUCAGCUUCUGUUCUGGAUGCAGCUUCUGGGCCUUCAGGAUACCUUGAGCCUCUGCAUGCAUCGGUGCCAGCAGAUCUGGAUAAGUCAGAUUCUUUUGAGACUGAGCACUGUUUAGAGGAGGCCAACACAGAACCACUGCUGUCAGCAUGUGAGGAAGAAGAAAAAGAAGCAGCAGCAAUGACUGUUCCAGAAUCAUCCACACAAGCUCUGGGAGGAGCACCAAAAUUGCAAGAUCCCAUAGAGAUCAGCAUUGAGGCCUAUGGGCGUUCUCCAGUACACCCAGCAACCUUGAGAAUUUCUGUUGACGUGAGGAAGGAACAGAUCUUGUCCACCUGGAACAUCUGCUGGCCAAACAGGAGCAUGCCCGAAGCAGCACAGGACAGUGCAGAAACAGGGGGCAUUCAGCUUCUGUUCUGGGACGCAGGUCAUGGGCCUGCAGGACUGCUUGAGAGCCUUUCCCCUGCAUCAGUUCCUGAGGACGAAGAGGUGGCCAGUGAAACACCUUCUCCUGCCAGAGUGUGAGGGAGAAGUAAGUGUACCACCAUGAUUCACAGGCUUUCAUCUGAUGAUCAGACCGCCUUCAACUUCCCUGUGGAUGCAUGCGAAGGACCAGAAACUACAGGCGAUGAACAGAAGGUGAGGAAAGUGCACUUGGUCAGCACCAGGUGUGAAAUCAGAGCACAGGCAGGAGCUAUGCCAGAGUGUACACUGUGGGGCGAUGCCUGGUGCUGUCCCCUUUCAAGCCAUCUUCUGUGCACAAGGGUGGACAUCCCCUCCAUAACAUCUCCCUCAAGCCAGGGGCAUGUUUGACAAGCAGGGGGAGUCAACUUCUCUCCAUGGGGCCCUGGCAUCUGGAAUGUUGCUGCGCAGGAGCCUACAGGGCUGUGGUUUUGCUGUCCCCCACACAGGUUUCUGCAGAGAGGGCAGAAGAGAUACAGAGAAGUCUGUGUCCUUCAGAGAUCCACUGGAGGAUGAUCCAGGUCGUCCCGGCAAAGCCAUCCCAGGGAGCGGCCGUACGACUAGUGCCCCCAAGUGCAGGCUGGCGAUGUUCU
rnacentral:lncRNA from 1 species